rnacentral:lncRNA from 1 species
CAAGUAGACACAAGAAAAAGUACAAAUGAGUUCUUUAUUCUUCAUUAGAGCACUCUAAAGAUAGCAUCAAGGACUGCAUGGAAAUSCCCUGGAUACUUUUCAUAAUCUUUUCUGGUGAAUCUCAGGAUAUCAAAUAUGAGAGGCAAGGGUUUUGUCAUGUUUCCUGUGGAUUUGGAAAGAAAAUGGCACAGAAAAUACCCACACAAGCAUGUUUCCAGCAUGAGAGGAAGGAAGAGCCUCAGUGGCAUGUGUCCUGCCUGGUCAGGCCACUCACCCAUAUCCAAACUGUGCAGCGAAGUGUGGCCUAGGUGUGAGCUUCUAACUGACAUCAUCCCAGGCACCCAACAGGGAUACCAUCUUUUGCUAUUAAACUAUAGCUCAUCGAUUUCAGCUUUUCU